ACUCAAAUGAAUUGACGGGGGCCCGCACAAGCAGUGGAGUAUGUGGUUUAAUUCGAAGCAACGCGAAGAACCUUACCAGGUCUUGACAUCGAGUGACGUACUAAGAGAUUAGUACACCCUUCGGGGCACAAAGACAGGUGGUGCAUGGUUGUCGUCAGCUCGUGUCGUGAGAUGUUGGGUUAAGUCCCGCAACGAGCGCAACCCUUGCCAUUAGUUGCUACGCAAGAGCACUUUAAUGGGACUGCCGUUGACAAAACGGAGGAAGGUGGGGACGACGUCAAAUCAUCAUGCCCCUUAUGACCUGGGCUACACACGUACUACAAUGGCAAUUAACAGAGGGAAGCGAAGCAGUGAUGUGGAGCGAACCCCUAAAAAUUGUCUCAGUUCGGAUUGUAGGCUGCAACUCGCCUACAUGAAGUCGGAAUUGCUAGUAAUCGCAGAUCAGCAUGCUGCGGUGAAUACGUUCCCGGGCCUUGUACACACCGCCCGU
rnacentral:rRNA from 1 species